rnacentral:sRNA from 1 species
CACAGCCAGUAAUGACCAAACAGAGACCAAGGCAGAGCUCAGGAGAAAGUAGGCAUCAAACAGCACUCAGCCUGAAUCCAGGCAAGUUCUUCAGUCCAAAGGGCAAAGGGGAUGUAAAUACUUAAGUUCAUCUUACUCAGAUUGCAAGAAUAAAACACUACAUAGGGACUUGGGACCAACAAAAUGCUAGCCGGUGAAAUAAGUUGUAGAGCCUCUAGUGUCUCUACUCAUUGUAUAUUUUUUGUAUCUGUCUAAUUCAGGUGUGGGGAUUCGGGAUCCUUUUCAUCUUUAAUACUAAAGUCAAAAUUAACAAAAUUAUAUGACUAUAACCUAUUAACUUUCUAAUUUGCACCACAUCUUCUUUCUGAUUGGGUGAAUAUGGAUGCUUCCUCAGCAAACUUCCUGCUAGUCUGGACUCUAUUGUUCAUUUUUCUCCUAGGUGCUCCUCAGGUUCCACAUUUUCUUGCCUUUCUGCCGUCUCUGCCCCAUCAAAGUCAAUUAGGCCAUCUCGCUUCUCUUUACUUGUCUUCUGGAUGACUGUAAAAAGUUUAAAACAAUGCUUAUUCAUUGUCUGCAACCUCAGUCUAGAUAUAAAUGCUGCACAGCUCUCUCUUUUCAUGUCCCUGGGGACAGAGGAAUCUUCCCACUUUCAGGCUAAGAUUUGUUCCUUCAUUUGAUGUUUUUAAACCAUUUUAUUCUGACUUUAACAGGAUGUCUUAAUUAUCCUUUUUCUUUACUGACUUUACCCUUUUUCACAAAUGUGCUCAAGUUUUCAAUUUCCUAUUUGCUUCAUUACUUAUGUUUCUCAAAAUAGUAAUGUAUACUCCCUAUUUUCAUGCUUCUUCUCCUCCUUAUUUCUUAUUCUUUUGCAAUUUGGCUUCCAAUAAAAUUUUUGUCAUUAUCAAUGACAUCUUUAGUAGCACAUCGUCUCUGCCAUUGUCAUUGAAUCUCUGACCAAUGUGGAAAUUAAAAGGUGAUGAUGAUUCAGAGGACUCAGAUUAACCUAAAAUAAAAUUUAAUGUUUUUAUAUUUUUAAUUGAUACUAGUACGACAGGGUAUCACUGAAUAAUAAAGUAUUUUUCAACUAUAUAGAAUCGACAUAUAUCAAGAAAAUGUCAGCUUUCUCUCUAGGAUAGAACUUCCAUAAUGUAUGUAUAUGUCCUUACUCUAUGACCACAAUCUCCCCGUAAUGUUUGCUUGCUAUGUACUCAGAUCCCAUAGUGCUCAUUUCUUUAUAGGAGUGGUUGUCACAUAUCUGGGCACCAACACAGAGCCUAGACAUUCAUAGAUGGGCAAGAUUAUCUUGUGAUGUUGUAAAGUUCUGUGUUCCAUUCUACUCUUGGAUAAAUGUUAGUGAUAUCACUUGUUCCUCUCAACAGCAGCCAUAUAUGUGUAAAAUCCCAGUCUUGCUCUACUUCUCUGAAUUAUAGCUAAACAAAUAUAUCUACCUGAAAUAGAGUGGAUCAUUUUUGUAUAUUUUAUUAGCUUACUCAAUGACAUUUAAUCUGGUUCACCAUGGAAUCUUUUUGAUAUGCUUCAUUUGCCUUCCUUUUUCUUCCAGGUGUUUUUAUUUAGUGAUUUCUUGUUUGUUUCUCUCUGACACCUCCUCACUAACCUAAGACUGGUUCCCCCUUGUCUACCUCUCCGCUAAAUUUCAUGGUUCCCUGGGUUUCCAUUCUCAUUCUUCUCCUCUAAUCUCUCUCUCCAGAUGACUUCCUCCACUCCCACAUCAGCAACUAUAUUCCUAUGGUGAAUCUCAUAUCUUGAUCUCUAGCCCACGAGUCACUCCUCAUUAUCUGACCUAUUGGAUAGUUGAACAUGGAUUGCUCAAAGAAUCUUAAAAUUCAAUGUUCUAAUACUAAAUACAAUGCAUAAUCCCAUUUUCAAACCUGCUUUUCUUUAUAUGCUACAGAUUUCAGAUCAUGGUAGCACCGAUUUUCCACUGACCUUAAAUCAAAAUUCUUGGAGCCCUUUUAGCUGUUACCUCUUCCUCUGAUUUGUAUGUUUGUUUGUUUUUUGGUCAAUCAAUUCUAAUUCUUCACUAUUGAAACUGUUCACUUCUUUUUAUCUGCACUCCAACCCUUAAAUCAUUACUUAUCUAUUAUUACGCAAUGGCCUGCUCAGCAUGACCUGCCUCAUCCAGCACUCUUUCCAGCCAUCUUGCCACCAGAUGUAUUGCUCUGAUACAUGAUUUUGAUCAUGUAUCUCUCCUAAUUAAAAAAUCCUUAAGUUUAGCCAGACAAACUUUAUGGUAUAAGUACCACAUUGUAUUUGUGUAUAACUCCUUGCUCUGUGUUAGCUUUUAUCCUGUUCCUAAAAUGUGCUUCAUGCUUGUGGGCAAAGUCUCAUUGAUCCUUUCAGACUAAGCCUCAUUUCAUUCUUUUUGGCAGUCUUUCUGACUCAUCUCCAUUCCCAAGCCCUACCCUAGGAAAUCAGCCAUUCUAUACUCCUUGCUCUCUAACAAUUUAUCCACAAAUGGAUCUCUAUAUCAUAGCUAUUUAUUUGCAUGCAUAUCUCUCCGCCUUGAGUGUGAGCUUUUUGAGGGCAUCAACUCCGUUUUAUUCAUCUUUGUAUACUCAUUGUUUAUCUAUGUAGGUUAUUGCUAAUCAGUACAAACAUCAGUAGAUAUUUGUAAAUAAAUAAUAUCUGCCCUCCUGAAGCUCAUAAUGAAGUUAAGAGACAGAAUCUACACAUAGAUCGAUUAGGGAAAAUGCAAUUCAGAGAUAAAAUUCAUGGUUGAAAAUAGUGACGUCUCAAGAAUAUUGCAUUGCAGAGGAUAAAAACUUAAUUCCUAUUACCUUUUUUUUUUUAGUUUAUACAAGAGUAACUAUUUUAAAAUUUUUAUCACAAACUGGUGUGCUGCAUUUGUACACACACACACACACACACGCACAAAGAUUUCAUAAGACAUAGAGAAAUGAGAUGUCCAAUAGGACGACACAUAACUAGAUGGGCAAAUUAAGGUAAGCCAUCCAGCUAAAUAAGCCUUUGGUAAAGGUAUUCCUGGGAAUUCUGUAGCAGGAAUUGUCUUCAGUUUGCUGGAAUUAAGAUGAGCCAAAAGGGGGUUAUAUCUUACUCUUUUGGCCUAAGCGAUGCAUUGUUCAGAGAGGAAGAUCUCCAGGAAGGAUCUUGCAGGCCUUGAACAAAAGUUCACUGGAGUUUCUGAGAAUAUGCCUUACAGAAAUGCACUCGAACAGCCUAACGAAAUGAAAGUUCUAAUAACAAUAGAAUAAACCUCAGUGUCAGGAAUUCACAGAAAAAAGGGGAAAAAAUAGUAGAAAGGGAUUAAGAAAUACAUUUUUAUAUACUCAAGAAAGAAAGCUCACUGAUAUACAUGUAUAGAACCUUAAAGACUUUUUCCUGAAUAGUGUUAUCUUUUAAAAAAACACUAGUAAUAAAAUUAAUUUUGGAGAUCUAACAAGACUAAAGAAGUACUGUGAACUUUUGGACUCUGAAACUAAGAAAAAGACUGACAAAGGUGAUGAUGUAGGUUACUGCUAAUAGAACAUGUUUAAACUUUGGCUGCCAUGAUUCAUUUUACACAUUGCUUGAGUAGGAUGGUGUGACUAUUAUGAAUGUCCUGUUGAAUUUCUAAGUUUUCUUUUAUCCCACAUCUCUUUGAAAUCCACAAGCCAAGAUAUAAUCAUGAAGUUUUAAGGGUAAAAAAAUAGCUAUAGCUAAAGAAAGACAACUUAAACUGAUUCUGCCUUCUCAGAUAGUCCUAAAUACAAUUCAACAAAUCAUCAAAUUUGUCUAGGAAAUAAAAUUUGAGCAUUUAUUAA